rnacentral:rRNA from 1 species
AGAGUUUGAUCAUGGCUCAGGAUGAACGCUAGCGGCAGGCCUAAUACAUGCAAGUCGAACGGUAAAUAUAGUAGCAAUACUAUAUGAGAGUGACGCACGGGUGCGUAACACGUAUGCAACCUACCCUUUACAGGAGUAUAGCUCGGGGAAACUCGAAUUAACACUUCAUAGUAUAAUUGAAUGGCAUCAUUUGAUUAUUAAAUCUGCGGAGGUAAAGGAUGGGCAUGCGUCUGAUUAGCUAGUUGGUAGUGUAAUGGACUACCAAGGCGAUGAUCAGUAGGGGAACUGAGAGGUUGAUCCCCCACACUGGCACUGAGAUACGGGCCAGACUCCUACGGGAGGCAGCAGUAGGGAAUAUUGGUCAAUGGGUGAGAGCCUGAACCAGCCAUGCCGCGUGCAGGAAGACGGCCUUCUGGGUUGUAAACUGCUUUUGCCAGGGGCUAAAAAGUCCAUGCGUGGAAAAUUGAAAGUACCUGGUGAAUAAGCCACGGCUAACUACGUGCCAGCAGCCGCGGUAAUACGUAGGUGGCAAGCGUUGUCCGGAUUUAUUGGGUUUAAAGGGUGCGUAGGCGGCCUAUUAAGUCAGUGCUGAAAUAUCUCGGCUUAACCGGGAGGGUGGCAUUGAUACUGAUGGGCUAGAGUACAGAUGAGGUAGGCGGAAUUGACGGUAGCGGUGAAAUGCUUAGAUAUCGUCAAGAACACCUAUAGCGAAGGCAGCUUACUAGGCUGUAACUGACGCUGAGGCACGAAAGUGUGGGGAUCAAACAGGAUUAGAUACCCCAGUAGUCC